rnacentral:rRNA from 1 species
GAUGAACGCUGGCGGCGUGCCUAAUACAUGCAAGUCGAGCGGACGGACGAUAAGCGUGCUUCUCUGAUGUUAGCGGGGGACGGGCGAGUAACACGUGGAUAACCUACCUAUAAGACGGGGAUAACUUCGGGAAACCGGAGCUAAUACCGGAUGAUAUUUUGAACCGCAUGGUUCAAAAGUGAAAGACGGUCUGGCUGUCACUUAUAGACGGAUCCGCGCUGCAUUAGCUAGUUGGUAAGGUAACGGCUUACCAAGGCAACGAUGCAUAGCCGACCUGAGAGGGUGAUCGGCCACACUGGAACUGAGACACGGUCCAGACUCCUACGGGAGGCAGCAGUAGGGAAUCUUCCGCAAUGGGCGAAAGCCUGACGGAGCAACGCCGCGUGAGUGAUGAAGGUCUUCGGAUCUUAAAACUCUGUUAUUAGGGAAGAACAUAUGUGUAAGUAACUGUGCACAUCUUGACGGUACCUAAUCAGAAAGCCACGGCUAACUACGUG